GAGUGGGGAAAACACGAGAGUUGGGAAGAGAGGAAGGGAAUAUUUUUGGACUCAUGCAUCUUUUGGUUUGGAGGACGACAGCAGGAUAAGAGGCAGUGGAGAAGAACGCUAACUGAGAUGGAAGAGUGGGGAAUGAGAAAAAGAAAUAUCUUCAGAUCCCUCAAGAUUUCAUAAGUUUGUCAGAACUCCUUCUAACCUCCUUGUUCUAGGCUCAGCAAGCCUAAACAAGGACUUAAGUUCUCAAGGAGUUAAGGAUUGUUGGGAAGCUGUUGCUCGCUCUUAAUCUCAUCAUGUUCCUUUGAGGGGGAGGAGGAAAUGUUCCCAAGGCUGUAGUGGGAAGGGGUAUGUGAGUAAGGUUGUUUACCAACAGCACAUGAAGGUUUGUAAAGAUAUGAGACACUUUUUUUAAGGAUACCAGGGCUCUUAGGGAUGAAAGCAAAGAGCCCUCUGACACCUGCAGAGGGAAAGGGGGACAAAGCUGUGAGAACCUUGACAUGCCUCAGUGGUUUUUAAGACAGUUUUGGGGCUUUCAGCUUGCAAGCCUCAUUUCCUGAUCAGUGGCAAUGAAGAAAAUCAAGGCUCCAACUUUCAGUCUUGCUUACAGAAUACAUACAUCCGUAUUUGUCUUCCUAGCAGAUUAAGAACAGUUUAUUCAAUAAUAAAAAUGGCAGCACAGCCAU